AAUAUACGAUUAGAAAGGUUAACAUUUUUUGUCAAACAUCACAGCACAAUUGGAAAAUAUAUGGCACAUAGCACAACCAAACGAGGGUGGCACAACCAAAUGAGGGUGGUCUAUGGUGAUAGGUGGAAUGGGCUGAGAGUGGCUGAAGGUUGGGAUUAAAGAGCUGAGGUCUAGGGUGAUAGGUGUGAUGGGCUGAGAGUGGCUGAGGGUUGGGAUUAAAGAGCUGAGGUCUAUGGUGAUAGGUGGGAUGGGCUGAGAGUGGCUGAGGGUUGGGAUUAAAGAGCUGAGGUCUAUGGUGAUAGGUGGGAUGGGCUGAGAGUGGCUGAGGGUUGGGAUUAAAGAGCUGAGGUCUAUGGUGAUAGGUGUGAUGGGCUGAGAGUGGCUGAAGGUUGGGAUUAAAGAGCUGAGGUCUAUGGUGAUAGGUGUGAUGGGCUGAGAGUGGCUGAAGGUUGGGAUUAAAGAGCUGAGGUCUAUGGUGAUAGGUGGGAUGGGCUGAGAGUGGCUGAGGGUUGGGAUUAAAGAGCUGAGGUCUAUGGUGAUAGGUGGGAUGGGCUGAGAGUGGCUGAGGGUUGGGAUUAAAGAGCUGAGGUCUAUGGUGAUAGGUGUGAUGGGCUGAGAGUGGCUGAAGGUUGGGAUUAAAGAGCUGAGGUCUAUGGUGAUAGGUGUGAUGGGCUGAGAGUGGCUGAAGGUUGGGAUUAAAGAGCUGAGGUCUA